rnacentral:rRNA from 1 species
CCUACGGGAGGCAGCAGUAAGGAAUAUUGGUCAAUGGACGAAAGUCUGAACCAGCCAUGCCGCGUGAAGGAUUAAGGCCCUCUGGGUUGUAAACUUCUUUUAUCUGGGACGAAAAAAGGGUAUUCUUACUCACUUGACGGUACCAGAGGAAUAAGCACCGGCUAACUCCGUGCCAGCAGCCGCGGUAAUACGGAGGGUGCAAGCGUUAUCCGGAUUUACUGGGUUUAAAGGGUGCGUAGGUGGGCUUGUAAGUCAGUGGUGAAAUCUCCGGGCUUAACCCCGGAAACUGCCAUUGAUACUAUAGGUCUUGAAUUAUCUGGAGGUAAGCGGAAUAUGUCAUGUAGCGGUGAAAUGCUUAGAUAUGACAUAGAACACCAAUUGCGAAGGCAGCUUACUACGGAUAUAUUGACACUGAGGCACGAAAGCGUGGGGAUCAAACAGGAUUAGAUACCCUGGUAGUCCACGCCCUAAACGAUGGAUACUCGACAUCAGCGAUACACUGUUGGUGUCUGAGCGAAAGCAUUAAGUAUCCCACCUGGGAAGUACGAUCGCAAGAUUGAAACUCAAAGGAAUUGACGGCNGAGAGNGCGAGACGACACGAGGAGGAGG